rnacentral:rRNA from 1 species
GAUGAACGCUGGCGGCGUGCCUAAUACAUGCAAGUCGAGCGAACAGAUGAGGAGCUUGCUCCUCUGACGUUAGCGGCGGACGGGUGAGUAACACGUGGAUAACCUACCUAUAAGACUGGGAUAACUUCGGGAAACCGGAGCUAAUACCGGAUAAUAUAUUGAACCGCAUGGUUCAAUAGUGAAAGACGGUUUUGCUGUCACUUAUAGAUGGAUCCGCGCCGCAUUAGCUAGUUGGUAAGGUAACGGCUUACCAAGGCAACGAUGCGUAGCCGACCUGAGAGGGUGAUCGGCCCCCCUGGAACUGAGACACGGUCCAGACUCCUAAGGGAGGCAGCAGUAGGGAAUCUUCCGCCAUGGGCGGAAGCCUGACGGGGCAACGCCGGGUGAGUGAUGGAGGGCUUCGGAUCGUAAAACCCUGUUAUUAGGGAAGAACCAAUGUGUAAGUAACUAUGCACGUCUUGACGGUACCUAAUCCGAAAGCCACGGCUAACUACGUG